rnacentral:lncRNA from 1 species
UUCUGUGGCCAGCUUGAAUUUUUCCCCAGAAAAUGGGACUUUCUUUUCUAUCACAUUGUGCUGAGGCAGAAGAAUUGCUUGAACCCGGGAGGCAGAGGUUGCAGUGAGCUGACAUUGCACCAUUGCACUACAGCCUGGGCAACAAGAGUGAAACUCCAUCUCAAAAAACAAAACAAAAAAAACUGAAUGCCUUUAACAGCACCUAAGUCACCUCUUGAAUGCUUUGCUGCUUAGAAAUUUCUUCCGCCAGAUACCCUAAAUCAUCUCUCUCAAGUUCAAAUUUUCACAAAUCUCUAGGGCAG